GACCAGAGAUAUCACUCCUUGGACCAUAAUAUGGAAUACCCUCAAGAUGAUUUCCAGCCUGCCUUUCAGAGGCGAUAUCAGAGGUGGUGGAAAGGGGAGCACGGGCACCACCAGAAGAGGCCGCCCCAGCAGACAUAGAGGCAGAGGGGGACGCAUCAGCGUUCUUGGGGGCCAAAACUACAGGCGAAUCGGUGGUAGCCGACUUCAAGCCGAGGAAGUCAUGGAACAUUGCCUUCACUUGGUGUUGUUGGGUGGUAGAAGUGUCAAGAAGACUGAUACCGGCGCCAAUACUAAGGGAAGGAUUGGCAUUGUAAGCUUUGCUUUGCCGAGGCAUUAUCAGAAAAAGGGCCAUUUCUUCAUCUCCUCCAUAUCAGGCUUCUGCAGCUUCAUAUCCGCUUUCUCUUCUCCUUUACCCACUUCAGCGAUAGAGAUUAGAGAGAGUGAGUGAGUGAGAG
rnacentral:misc_RNA from 1 species